CCUACGGGGUGCUGCAGUGGGGAAUAUUGGACAAUGGGCGAAAGCCUGAUCCAGCCAUGCCGCGUGUGCGAAGAAGGCCUUCGGGUUGUAAAGCACUUUCAGUGGGGAAGAAAGCCUUGGGGCUAAUACCCUCGAGGAAGGACAUCACCCACAGAAGAAGCACCGGCUAACUCCGUGCCAGCAGCCGCGGUAAUACGGAGGGUGCGAGCGUUAAUCGGAAUUACUGGGCGUAAAGCGCGCGUAGGCGGUCUGAUAAGCCGGUUGUGGAAGCCCCGGGCUCAACCUGGGAACGGCAUCCGGAACUGUCAGGCUAGAGUGCAGGAGAGGAAGGUAGAAUUCCCGGUGUAGCGGUGAAAUGCGUAGAGAUCGGGAGGAAUACCAGUGGCGAAGGCGGCCUUCUGGACUGACACUGACGCUGAGGUGCGAAAGCGUGGGUAGCAAACAGGAUUAGAUACCCGAGUAGUC
rnacentral:rRNA from 1 species